AGUGAACGCUGGCGGUAGGCCUAACACAUGCAAGUCGAACGGUAACAGGUCUUCGGAUGCUGACGAGUGGCGAACGGGUGAGUAAUACAUCGGAACGUGCCUAGUAGUGGGGGAUAACUACUCGAAGGAGUGGCUAAUACCGCAUGAGAUCUACGGAUGAAAGCAGGGGAUCGCAAGACCUUGUGCUACUAGAGCGGCCGAUGGCAGAUUAGGUAGUUGGUGGGAUAAAAGCUUACCAAGCCGACGAUCUGUAACUGGUCUGAGAGGACGAUCAGCCACACUGGGACUGAGACACGGCCCAGACUCCUACGGGAGGCAGCAGUGGGGAAUUUUGGACAAUGGGCGAAAGCCUGAUCCAGCAAUGCCGCGUGCAGGAUGAAGGCCUUCGGGUUGUAAACUGCUUUUGUACGGAACGAAAAGCCCCGGGUUAAUACCCUGGGGUCAUGACGGUACCGUAAGAAUAAGCACCGGCUAACUACGUGCCAGCAGCCGCCGUAA
rnacentral:rRNA from 1 species